rnacentral:rRNA from 1 species
UACGGAAGGCAGCAGUGGGGAAUAUUGCACAAUGGGCGCAAGCCUGAUGCAGCCAUGCCGCGUGUAUGAAGAAGGCCUUCGGGUUGUAAAGUACUUUCAGUCGUGAGGAAGGUGUUAAGGUUAAUAACCUUAGCAAUUGACGUUAGCGACAGAAGAAGCACCGGCUAACUCCGUGCCAGCAGCCGCGGUAAUACGGAGGGUGCGAGCGUUAAUCGGAAUUACUGGGCGUAAAGGGCACGCAGGCGGUUAAUUAAGUUGGAUGUGAAAUCCCCGGGCUUAACCUGGGAAUGGCAUUCAAGCUGGUUAGCUAGAGUCUUGUAGAGGGGGUAGAAUUCCAUGUGUAGCGGUGAAAUGCGUAGAGAUGUGGAGGAAUACCGGUGGCGAAGGCGGCCCCUGGCAAAGACUGACGCUCAUGUGCGAAAGCGUGGGGAGCAAACAGGGAUUAGAUACC